AGGAUGGAAGUCUUGCUUCCGGAAACGGUGAACAACGUGGCGAGCGUGCUGCUCUGAGCCUCGGAGACAAGUUCCAAGCUGUCGAACG
rnacentral:rRNA from 11 species